rnacentral:tRNA from 1 species
AAACUAGUAGUUUAAUGAAGGUAAAACGUUUGAUUGUUAAUUAAAAGAAAAAUACCAAGUUUCUAGUUUU